rnacentral:rRNA from 1 species
AGUGAACGCUGGCGGUAGGCCUAACACAUGCAAGUCGAACGGCAGCACAGUAAGAGCUUGCUCUUACGGGUGGCGAGUGGCGGACGGGUGAGGAAUACAUCGGAAUCUACUUUUUCGUGGGGGAUAACGUAGGGAAACUUACGCUAAUACCGCAUACGACCUACGGGUGAAAGCAGGGGAUCUUCGGACCUUGCGCGAUUGAGUGAGCCGAUGUCGGAUUAGCUAGUUGGCGGGGUAAAGGCCCACCAAGGCGACGAUCCGUAGCUGGUCUGAGAGGAUGAUCAGCCACACUGGAACUGAGACACGGUCGAGACUCCUACGGGAGGCAGCAGUGGGGAAUAUUGGACAAUGGGCGCAAGCCUGAUCCAGCCAUACCGCGUGGGUGAAGAAGGCCUUCGGGUUGUAAAGCCCUUUUGUUGGGAAAGAAAAGCAGCAGGUUAAUACCCCGCUGUUCUGACGGUACCCAAAGAAUAAGCACCGGCUAACUUCGUG